AUUACUCCUACGGGAGGCAGCAGUAAGGAAUAUUGGUCAAUGGAGGGAACUCUGAACCAGCCAUCCCGCGUGCAGGAUGAAGGGGCUCUGCCCUGUAAACUGCUUUUGAAUGGGACGAAAAAGCCUCACUUGUGAGGAACUGACGGUACCAUUAGAAUAAGCACCGGCUAACUCCGUGCCAGCAGCCGCGGUAAUAAU
rnacentral:rRNA from 1 species